AGAGCGAACGCUGGCGGCAGGCCUAACACAUGCAAGUCGAGCGGGCGUAGCAAUACGUCAGCGGCAGACGGGUGAGUAACGCGUGGGAACGUACCUUUUGGUUCGGAACAACCCAGGGAAACUUGGGCUAAUACCGGAUAAGCCCUUACGGGGAAAGAUUUAUCGCCGAAAGAUCGGCCCGCGUCUGAUUAGCUAGUUGGUGGGGUAAUGGCCCACCAAGGCGACGAUCAGUAGCUGGUCUGAGAGGAUGAUCAGCCACAUUGGGACUGAGACACGGCCCAAACUCCUACGGGAGGCAGCAGUGGGGAAUAUUGGACAAUGGGCGCAAGCCUGAUCCAGCCAUGCCGCGUGAGUGAUGAAGGCCCUAGGGUUGUAAAGCUCUUUGUGCGGGAAGAUAAUGACGGUACCGCAAGAAUAAGCCCCGGCUAACUUCGCGCCAGCAGCCGC
rnacentral:rRNA from 1 species